GCAAGUCCAUCAGUAGAGAAACCCUCACAUGAAGAAAGCACCAAAACCUUGAAAUUCUUGAAGGACUUAGCUAUCAUGUCCAAAGUCUCAUCUGUAAAAAAAAUAUUAAAUAUUUUUUUGUGAUGCACAAAAGCAAAAGCGAUAAAAGCUGAAAGAUUUUGUAAUAAUAGAAAAAAAAGAGAAAACAUAGUUUAUCUUGUCUAGCACAUAUUCUUAACUCACUGAGGCAAAAACAUUUGCAUUGAUGUGUGCUAGUGAUAGCUAUGCAUGAUGUACAUUUCCAGAAACUAAAGCAGUAAACAAAAUAUUAUAGCACAGCGAUUUCCAUUCCCUAACCCCUAUGAUCUCUAUCAGCCAAUGCUAAAGGAAAUAUGUUGACCCCGUGUAGCUCAAAAU
rnacentral:misc_RNA from 1 species